rnacentral:piRNA from 1 species
UCCNCGUGUGCUCUGAAAACUGGACUUUAGU